rnacentral:rRNA from 2 species
AAAUUGAAGAGUUUGAUCAUGGCUCAGAUUGAACGCUGGCGGCAGGCCUAACACAUGCAAGUCGAACGGUAACAGGAAGCAGCUUGCUGCUUCGCUGACGAGUGGCGGACGGGUGAGUAAUGUCUGGGAAACUGCCUGAUGGAGGGGGAUAACUACUGGAAACGGUAGCUAAUACCGCAUAACGUCGCAAGACCAAAGAGG